rnacentral:rRNA from 1 species
AGAGUUUGAUCAUGGCUCAGAAUCAACGCUGGCGGCGCGCCUAACACAUGCAAGUCGAACGAGAAAGUGGAGCAAUCCAUGAGUACAGUGGCGUACGGGUGAGUAACACGUGGGUAAUCUACCUCUUAGUGAGGAAUAACCCUGGGAAACCGGGGCUAAUACCGCAUAAGCCUGAGAAGGGAAAGCAGCAAUGCGCUGAGAGAGGAGCCCGCGGCCGAUUAGCUAGUUGGUGAGGUAAGAGCCCACCAAGGCAGAGAUCGGUAGCCGGCCUGAGAGGGCACACGGCCACACUGGCACUGAAACACGGGCCAGACUCCUACGGGAGGCAGCAGUGGGGAAUCUUGCACAAUGGGGGAAACCCUGAUGCAGCGACGCCGCGUGAGCGAUGAAGCCCUUCGGGGUGUAAAGCUCUUUCGUCAGGGAAGAUAGUGACGGUACCUGGAGAAGCAGCUGCGGCUAACUACGUGCCAGCAGCCGCGGUAAUACGUAGGCAGCAAGCGUUGUUCGGAGUUACUGGGCGUAAAGGGUGUGUAGGCGGUUCUUUAAGUUUGGUGUGAAAUCUCCCGGCUCAACCGGGAGGGUGCGCCGAAUACUGAGGGACUAGAGUGCGGGAGAGGAAAGUGGAAUUCCUGGUGUAGCGGUGAAAUGCGUAGAUAUCAGGAGGAACACCGGUGGUGUAGACGGCUUUCUGGACCGUAACUGACGCUGAGACACGAAAGCGUGGGUAGCAAACAGGAUUAGAUACCCUAGUAGUCC